UUUUAGCACAAACCCUAUAAAAUCUAUCUUGUCAGAAUGUGCCAGAACCUCUAAGCCCUUCCCGGCUGAACAAACUGCAGCUGGUGCUUCAUCCUGAAAGUAGAGAAUCGACUUUGCGUGUUGGGUAUAGGCAGCACACUGGCCCCGGUUUUCGCCCGGCUGCCGGGCCGACUGGGGAAGGCGUGGGUUUAGAUUAGCUGUGUCCUACGCUGCUUGACGGGGUGACACGGGUCUAUAGGGCCGAGCCCGGGGCCUGGAGAUAGGGCCAGCCAGCAGGAAUGCAGGGAAUGUUUUUCUUCGGACUCUAUCGAGGCACACAGACCGUGGGGAUUCUGUCCGCGGUGACAGCCUUAACAUUUGCCAGAGCCCUGGACGCCGCUCUAGAAAUGGCAUUGCCCACCCUGGAAGUGAGAAGAUUGUGAGAGGAGGCAAACGAUGGUUUUUGGAGACAUUUUGUCAAAGAGAGAGAAAUAGCUAAAUUGAAAUGAACUCUUAAAAGCAGCCCAAGAGUCUCUGGAUGGGUAAAAAAGUGCGGAGUAGAGAAAAGGAGGGAACCCGAGAGCAGUUUCUCUGCCUCUGGGAUCAACCUUGCACCAAAGAAAAAUAACCCGGAGAAAUUAGUCUGCAGCCAGGAACGAGGCCGGGAUCAAAUGGUUGCUGAUCGGAGCAAAUAUUUAAACGGGAUAAGUCAAAUCGAGCAUUAUUAAA